GACGAACGCUGGCGGCGUGCUUAAUACAUGCAAGUCGAACGGAAAGGCCCUGCUUUUGUGGGGUGCUCGAGUGGCGAACGGGUGAGUAACACGUGAGUAACCUGCACUUGUCUUUGGGAUAACUUCAGGAAACUGGGGCUAAUACCGGAUAGGAGCUCCUGCUGCAUGGUGGGGGUUGGAAAGUGUCGGCUGUUCGGGAUGGACUCGCGGCUUAUGAGCUUGUUGGUGAGGUAGUGACUUACAAAGGGUUUGACGGGUAGCCGGCCUGAGAGGGUGAACGGCCACAUUGGGACUGCGAUACGGCCCAGACUCCUACGGGAGGCAGCAGUGGGAAAUAUUGCACAAUGGGCGGAAGCCUGAUGCAGCAACGCCGCGUGCGGGAUGACGGGCUUCGGGUUGUAAACCGCUUUCGCCUGUGAUGAAGCGUGAGUGACGGUAAUGGGUAAGGAAGCACCGGCUAACUACGUG
rnacentral:rRNA from 1 species